rnacentral:rRNA from 1 species
UACGGAGGGUCCGAGCGUUAUCCGGAAUCAUUGGGUUUAAAGGGUCCGCAGGCGGCCAAAUAAGUCAGUGGUGAAAUUUUCUGGCUCAACCAGGAAACUGCCAUUGAUACUGUUUGGCUUGAAUCAGUUCGAGGAUGCCGGAAUGUGUGGUGUAGCGGUGAAAUGCAUAGAUAUCACACGGAACACCGAUUGCGAAGGCAGGUGUCCAGGACUGUAUUGACGCUGAUGGACGAAAGCGUGGGUAGCGAACAGG